CGACCGGCGCACGGGUGAGUAACACGUAUGGAACCUGCCCGCAGCAGGGGGAUAAGCGGAAGAAAUUCCGUCUAAUACCGCGUAACACCGCAGAGGGGCAUCCCUCGGCGGUUAAAGAUUCAUCGGCUGCGGAUGGCCAUGCGGCGCAUUAGCUAGUCGGCGGGGUAACGGCCCACCGAGGCGACGAUGCGUAGGGGUUCUGAGAGGAAGGUCCCCCACCACUGGUACUGAGACACGGACCAGACUCCUACGGGAGGCAGCAG
rnacentral:rRNA from 1 species